rnacentral:rRNA from 1 species
AUUGAACGCUGGCGGAAUGCUUUACACAUGCAAGUCGAACGGCAGCACGGGGGCAGCCCUGGUGGCGAGUGGCGAACGGGUGAGUAAUACAUCGGAACGUGCCCGGUCGUGGGGGAUAACGUAGCGAAAGUUACGCUAAUACCGCAUACGAUCUGAGGAUGAAAGCGGGGGACCUUCGGGCCUCGCGCGAUCGGAGCGGCCGAUGUCAGAUUAGGUAGUUGGUGGGGUAAAGGCCAACCAAGCCGACGAUCUGUAGCUGGUCUGAGAGGACGACCAGCCACACUGGGACUGAGACACGGCCCAGACUCCUACGGGAGGCAGCAGUGGGGAAUUUUGGACAAUGGGCGCAAGCCUGAUCCAGCCAUUCCGCGUGCAGGACGAAGGCCUUCGGGUUGUAAACUGCUUUUGUACGGAACGAAAAGGCUCUGGCUAAUACCUGGGGCUCAUGACGGUACCGUAAGAAUAAGCACCGGCUAACUACGUG